rnacentral:rRNA from 1 species
CCUACGGGUGGCAGCAGUGAGGAAUAUUGGUCAAUGGGCGGAAGCCUGAACCAGCCAAGUAGCGUGCAGGAUGACGGCCCUACGGGUUGUAAACUGCUUUUAUACGGGAAUAACGCGCCUUACGUGUAGGUCUUUGCAUGUACCGUAUGAAUAAGGACCGGCUAAUUCCGUGCCAGCAGCCGCGGUAAUACGGAGGGUCCGAGCGUUAUCCGGAUUUAUUGGGUUUAAAGGGAGCGUAGGUGGGAUGUCAAGCGUGCUGUGAAAUGUCCGGGCUCAACCGGGACAUUGCAGCGGGUACUGGCAGGCUUGAGUACGCGGAAGGCAGGCGGAAUUCGUGGUGUAGCGGUGAAAUGCUUAGAUAUGACGAAGAACCCCGAUUGCGAAGGCAGCUUGCUGAAGUGGCACUGACACUGAUGCUCGAAAGUGCGGGUAUCGAACAGGAUUAGAUACCCCAGUAGUC